rnacentral:rRNA from 1 species
GACGAACGCUGGCGGCGUGCUUAACACAUGCAAGUUGAGGGCACUUGCUCAGCAAUGGUCAAGUGACCGGCGAACGGGUGCGUAACACGUGAGCGACCUUGCCCUCGUGGUGGGGGAGUAGCCGGCCCCGAACCGGACCGGGGUAACGUACCGCCAUAGGGUGGGUCUUUUCGUCAUGGAGGAGACUAGCAAAGACCCUCGGAGGCAAU